rnacentral:misc_RNA from 1 species
GAAAUGCGAUAAGUAGUGUGAAUUGCAGAAUUCAGUGAAUCAUCGAAUCUUUGAACGCACAUUGCGCCCCUUGGUAUACCAUGGGGCAUGCCUGUUCGAGCGUCAUUUGUACCCUCAAGCUCUGCUUGGUGUUGGGUGUUUGUCCCGUCUCCGCGCGUGGACUCGCCCCAAAGUGAUUGGCAGCCGGCGUACUGGUCCCGGAGCGCAGCACAUGUCGCGCAAACGAGUGCCUUGGUACGGCGGCGUCCAUAAGCCCCUCUCUCACGCUCUUGACCUCGGAUCAGGUAGGGAUACCCGCUGACCUUAAGC